rnacentral:tRNA from 1 species
GAGCUUAGAGGAGAAAACACAAUAUUUUGCACAUAUUAUCAGCAUUUAUGCCUCCCCUAUAAAAGAAUUAA